rnacentral:lncRNA from 1 species
AGAAGGGGUUUCAUCAUGUUGGCCAGGCUGGUCUUGAACUCCUGACCUCAAGUGAUCUGCCCGUCCCAGGCCUCCUAAAGUGUUGGGAUUACAGGCGUGAGCCAUUGUGCCCGGCAAGAGAGGCUUUCUUAAUUUCCCUUCUCAACGACCUGUUAAUUAAUCUUCCUCUUCAAACCCUGCUAUUGGUGAAGCCAGUCGGGUUUCUUACUUUGCUCUUUUGCCGAGUCAGGAGCCAGCUGGAAUGGCAAAUAUCUUCCACUGAGAUCGUGUGGUUUUAAUCAUACAAGGAGAGUGGCAGAAGAACAGAAAGAUUGAAACCAAGGACAGAGAACACCUGAAAUUGGAAUGGCUUCAAAUGUUCAGUGGAAGUGAACAAGUUCUUGUAUUGUUUUCUCCUAUUCUCCUUCCAGCUUCAGGGUCAUAUGUCACAGCGCUGGGCAUUUCAUUUGGGUAUCUAUCAUCAUUCCCAUUCUGCAAUGAGGAAAUGCUGUCAGAGUGAUUAAGUAAUUUGCCCAUGGUCUCACAUAGAAGCCUGUCUUCUCCAGGGAACACAGCACUCAGAAUCGUCUCGGCCCCUGCAUAAGCCUGCAUGAGCCUGGGCUCUGGGGACCCAUCCUGGUGCAUCAUUCGUUGGCUCUGUGACAAUGGGCACAUCGUUUAACCUCUCUUGGCUUCAUUCUCCUUACUGGAAUGAUGGAGAGAGUUUUGCCUAUUUCAGAGGCUUGCUCUUCUAUACGUGAGCCUAUAAGUAACUUGUCUUAAGAAUUUCCACUCCUUCUGUACUCUGAUUUAAAUUUGAAGGCAUCAAAACAAAAACAAUCAAGAUUUCAGAUUCCAAAUACUUUCAUUUUCAUUUUUUAUUUUGAUUAGAAUUUCUUCUGAAUGAAUUUCUGUUUUGUAAUUUUAGCAUUGCCCUGAGGGGGGGAAAAGGCAGUUUAUCACCAUGCAGUAUAUUUUUCAGACAGCCUCUCUUUGACAAACUGAUUUUUGUCAGUCUCAACUGACUCACCAAUUCCAAAUCCCAGGGCUUCCCUGGGAAACUUCCUUGGAUCAUGGCUCUGCCACACAGGACCGACAUCCCAGAGGCCAAAGCAACCUGCUAUAAACUGAGAUCAUUGCUCAGCAAGCUGGUACCACAUGCAAGGAGUCUCAAGAGCUAACAGGAAAUGAUUCAAGACCAGAAUUACCCAGAACAAGUGUGUUAGCUUCCUCUGCGCAUGGGAUAAUAAGGAGCUUGCAUCACCAACCUUCCGUGAAUAGCCUACUCAGUGAUUCAACAGGUUUCAAAAUUGUGAAA